AAAUAAUACAGGUAUUUAUACCAGGAUAAUUUUUCCCUUGUUCUGGUAACCAAACGUUACAGCUUUCAAGUUUCAACUUACUAGUGGGGUCCCAGCAAGCUUACAGGGUUGUAUAAUAACUACAAUAAGCGACAUCUGAUGGAAGACAAGGGUAAAAAGAUGCCUCAAAAUGUUGUUGGUACCAAAUUCGAACUUUUGAAACAUUACAGUAGCGUUACCAGGGGUCGGAGCAGCUUAUCUAAAAUACACGAUUAUUUGUCUUUCUACAUCACACUUUGUCGAAUGUCACCAUUGUUCACUAUGCCACGAAAAAUAGGAAAAUCAUAAGGAAGAAAAUCAACACAAAGAAUAUCUUAAUCAUUAGCCACCGAUUUGACGAGAUGCUAUUGAGGUACUUGAGCAGAGCCCCUUGUGCCCCUUCCACAUUUGUUAGUGUGUCGUCCAUGUUCUCAUCAAUCCUGAUUGCAAGCUCUCCUUGCUGUGAAACCAUGGUUGCUAGUUGUGUAAAAAUGUUGCUCAAUUCAUGAAUUGUCGACUCCACAUUGUGCAGAGCCUCAGCUCUACUUUGCAUGUAACUGUCUUGUAGUGGAACCAUCUGCUGUUGCUGUUGCUGUUGCCGCUGCUGCUGCUGCUGCUGCUGCACCAUCCCCUGGAAAAUAUGUGCCAAGGUUCCGGCGAGAAAGAGAAGGCUCAGACCAGGCUUCUCCAGAUUCUGACAGAUGGAGUGGAGGAAGCAGUAGGCAGGCUUCUGAUCCCGAACGGUGGAGUGGUGGGAGUACCAGGCAGCCACCUGCGGAUGCAGAACGGUGGGGCAGUGGGGGCACCAAGCCUCCUUCAGACACUGAUCGAUGGGGCAGUGGCGGCACUAGGCAGCCUCGUGCAGAUUCUGAUCGCUGGGGCAUUGGCACAAGGCCUGAGGAUCGCAACCCGCCUGGUGAUAGGUGGCGUAGCAGCAGCUCAAAGUCCACUUGGUCAUCAUCUAGGCCACUGGCACGCUGAUCGUCGGAGUUUUUAAAUGUGGACAUAUUGAAUUCGUAUGCACAGAAACAGUAAUGAUAGCUGAAGUUUCUCCCAGAAACCCUUGUUUCUAAUUUUGAGACUUGCAGUUAAAGAGUGAGACGUUUUCUUAGUUACUUUUGUGAGACGAUCCCCAUGUAGAUUAAGAUUUUAAUUUAAGGUGAUGUGCCAUUUUUCGUGGGCACUUGUGUAAUGCCAUAUCCUCUCCUCUGUUACAUGUUGUUUUAUUAGAUUUGAUGCUAAAAUCGAUUUGCUAGCAUCUUGAGUAGUCGAGUUAAUGAUGAUCACUUUGAAAUAUACUUUGUCCUUUAGUAAGAUUGGAGUGUUAAUUUUCGAAUGCUAACGUGGCAGGCCAG
rnacentral:misc_RNA from 1 species